rnacentral:rRNA from 1 species
CGAACGCUGGCGGCGUGCCUAACACAUGCAAGUCGAGCGCGAAAGGAGCAAUCCGAGUAGAGCGGCGCACGGGUGCGUAACACGUGGAUAAUCUGCCCUUGAAUUCGGGAUAACCUUCCGAAAGGUUGGCUAAUACCGGGUAAGCUCACGGUGACUUCGGUCGCUGUGGGAAAAGUAGACCUCUGUUUACAAGUUUACGUUUGAGGAUGAGUCCGCGGCCCAUCAGCUAGUUGGCGGGGUAAUGGCCCACCAAGGCUACGACGGGUAGCUGGUCUGAGAGGACGAUCAGCCACACUGGAACUGAGACACGGUCCAGACUCCUACGGGAGGCAGCAGUGGGGAAUUUUCCACAAUGGGCGAAAGCCUGAUGGAGCAACGCCGCGUGUGUGAUGAAGGUCUUCGGAUCGUAAAGCACUUUCGACCGGGACGAAAAACCUCUGGCUAACAUCCAGGGGCCUGACGGUACCGGGAGAAGAAGCACCGGCUAACUCUGUGCCAGCAGCCGCGGUAAUACAGA